UGUGUAUAUAGCAGAUGUAUAUAUUUAUAGUGCAUGUGGGAUAUUUUGAUACAGGCAUAGGAUUUGUAAUAAUCACUUCAGGAUAAAUGAGGUAACCAUUGCCUUAAGCAUUUAUACUUUGUGUUACAAACAAUAUAAUUAUACUCUUUUAGCUAUUUAAAAAUGUACAAUUUAAUUAUUAUUGACUAUAGUCACCUUGUUGUGCUAUCAAAUACUAGAUCUUAUUCAUUCAAUUUUUUUAUACCCAUUAGCUGUCCCCCCACUGCCCCCCAUGAUGGUUACCAUUCCCAGUCUGUGGUAACCAUCAUUCUACUUUCUAUCUCCGUGAGUUCAAUUGUUUUAAUUUUUAACUUCCACAAAUAAGUGAGACCAUGUGAAGCUUGUCUUUCUGUGCCUGGCUUACUUCAUUCAGCAUAAUACCCCUCAGUUCCAUUCAUGUUGUUGCAAAUGACAGGAUCUCAUUAAUUUUUAUGGCUGAAAUAACCAUAAAAAUGUGUAUAUGUACCACAUUUUCUUUAUCCAUUUGUCUGCUGAUGGACACUUGGGUUGCUUCCAAAUUUUGGCUAUUGUGAAUAGUGCUGCAAUAAACAUGCGAAUGCAGAUAUCUCUUCAGUAUACUGAUUUCCUUUCAUAUGGGUACAUUUCUAGCAGUGAGAUUGCUGGAUCAUAUGGUAGCUCUAUUUUUAGUUUAGCUCGAGGCUCUAGGGCUCUACAAUCAGCAGGUGGUGAGGCCAGCCAGGCUUGUAUCCUUCUGUUAAGGGUGGCAUGUUCCCCUGGGCCCUAGGUGGGUUCAGAGAUGCUGUCUGGUAGCCAGGUCUGGAGUCGGAAACCUUAGAAACAUAUAUUGUGAUCUAUUCUACUGCAGCUGAGCUGGUGCCAAAACCAGAAGACAAAGUCCUUCCUACUCUUUCCUCCCCUUUCCCCAGGCAGAGGAGUCUCUCCCUGUGUCCACCACCACUGCAGGCCCAUGGGGAGUACUGCCAGGGUACCACCAGUUUUCACUUAAGGCCCAAAGGCUCUUUCAGCAGCUUGCGGUGAGUGCUGCCAAACCUGGGAUUCACUCUUUAGGGCAGUGGGCUCCCUUCUGGCCCAGGGUAGGUCCUGAGAUGCCAUCCAAGAGUCAAGACCUGGAGUUGGGGACCCCAAGAACCCACUUGGUGCUCUUUUCCACGGUGGCUAAGCUGAUAAUUAAUACAAAAUAUUUGUGGACAUUUACCACCCAAUGGUGGGCAGGGGGAGCGCAUGCUGAAACAAUAUUAGCAUCUGCCUCAAAAAUGAAUCGUUAUUUUAAGAAGAUUAUGUCUGAAGACCACAAUUUAAUAGAUUUACAUUGAUCAUCCACUAUGUUCCAGAUACUACAUGAUACUAACAAGACAACAGGAGAAGUGAUAUCAAAAGACAACGACUACACCAAAAUUUGGAGAAAAAGGUGAAUCCAGACAGUCACAGGUGAGAUCUGCCGACCUGGAGCAGAGCUGCUAGAUCCAUAAGCUGGGACGUGGAUGAAGCUGGAGGCAUUAUCCUUGGCAAACUUACACAGGAGCAGAAAACCAAAUACCACAUGUUCUCACCUGUAAGUGGGAGCUAAAUUAUGAGAACAUGUAGACACAUAGAGAGGAACAACACACACUGGGGCCUAUUGGAACGUGGAGGGUGGGAGGAGGGAGAGGAUCAAGAAAAACAUUUAGUGGGUACUAGACUUAAUACCUGGAUGAUGAAAUAAUCUGUACAACAAACCUCCAUGACACCCAUUUACCUGUGUAACAAACCUGCACAUGUAUUCCUGAACUUGAAAUAAAAGUUUUUUUAAGUGUAACUUACCAUUUUAAAAAAUAGUAUUUUUAA
rnacentral:lncRNA from 1 species